UACAGGGGGUGCAAACGUUGCUCGGAAUUAUUGGGCGUAAAGCGCGCGUAGGCGGCUACUUAUGUCGGAUGUGAAAGCCCUUGGCUCGACUGAGGAAGUGCACCCGAAACUGAGUAGCUGGAGUACGAAAGAGGGUCGCGGAAUUCCCGGUGUAGAGGUGAAAUUCGUAGAUAUCGGGAGGAACACCGGUGGCGAAGGCGGCGACCUGGGUCGAUACUGACGCUGGAGCGCGAAAGCGUGGGGAGCGAACAGG
rnacentral:rRNA from 1 species